rnacentral:rRNA from 1 species
UUAAGCGACUAAGCGUACACGGUGGAUGCCCUGGCAGUCAGAGGCGAUGAAGGACGUGCUAAUCUGCGAAAAGCGUCGGUAAGGUGAUAUGAACCGUUACAGCCGGCGAUGUCCGAAUGGGGAAACCCAGUGUGAUUCGUCACACUAUCGUUAACUGAAUACAUAGGUUAACGAGGCGAACCGGGGGAACUGAAACAUCUAAGUACCCCGAGGAAAAGAAAUCAACCGAGAUUCCCCCAGUAGCGGCGAGCGAACGGGGAGCAGCCCAGAGUCUGAAUCAGCUUGUGUGUUAGUGGAACGGUCUGGAAAGUCCGACGGUACAGGGUGAUAGUCCCGUACACCAAAAUGCACAGGCUGUGAACUCGAAGAGUAGGGCGGGACACGUGGUAUCCUGUCUGAAUAUGGGGGGACCAUCCUCCAAGGCUAAAUACUCCUGACUGACCGAUAGUGAACCAGUACCGUGAGGGAAAGGCGAAAAGAACCCCGGCGAGGGGAGUGAAAAAGAACCUGAAACCGUGUACGUACAAGCAGUGGGAGCACCUUCGGGUGUGACUGCGUACCUUUUGUAUAAUGGGUCAGCGACUUAUAUUCUGUAGCAAGGUUAACCGUAUAGGGGAGCCGCAGGGAAACCGAGUCUUAACUGGGCGUUAAGUUGCAGGGUAUAGACCCGAAACCCGGUGAUCUAGCCAUGGGCAGGUUGAAGGUUGGGUAACACUAACUGGAGGACCGAACCGACUAAUGUUGAAAAAUUAGCGGAUGACUUGUGGCUGGGGGUGAAAGGCCAAUCAAACCGGGAGAUAGCUGGUUCUCCCCGAAAGCUAUUUAGGUAGCGCCUCGUGAAUUCAUCUUCGGGGGUAGAGCACUGUUUCGGCUAGGGGGUCAUCCCGACUUACCAACCCGAUGCAAACUACGAAUACCGAAGAAUGUUAUCACGGGAGACACACGGCGGGUGCUAACGUCCGUCGUGAAGAGGGAAACAACCCAGACCGCCAGCUAAGGUCCCAAAGUCAUGGUUAAGUGGGAAACGAUGUGGGAAGGCACAGACAGCCAGGAUGUUGGCUUAGAAGCAGCCAUCAUUUAAAGAAAGCGUAAUAGCUCACUGGUCGAGUCGGCCUGCGCGGAAGAUGUAACGGGGCUAAACCAUGCACCGAAGCUGCGGCAGCGACACUAUGUGUUGUUGGGUAGGGGAGCGUUCUGUAAGCCUGCGAAGGUGUGCUGUGAGGCAUGCUGGAGGUAUCAGAAGUGCGAAUGCUGACAUAAGUAACGAUAAAGCGGGUGAAAAGCCCGCUCGCCGGAAGACCAAGGGUUCCUGUCCAACGUUAAUCGGGGCAGGGUGAGUCGACCCCUAAGGCGAGGCCGAAAGGCGUAGUCGAUGGGAAACAGGUUAAUAUUCCUGUACUUGGUGUUACUGCGAAGGGGGGACGGAGAAGGCUAUGUUAGCCGGGCGACGGUUGUCCCGGUUUAAGCAUGUAGGCUGGUUAUCCAGGCAAAUCCGGAUAAUCAAGGCUGAGGUGUGAUGACGAGGCACUACGGUGCUGAAGUAACAAAUGCCCUGCUUCCAGGAAAAGCCUCUAAGCAUCAGGUAACAUCAAAUCGUACCCCAAACCGACACAGGUGGUCAGGUAGAGAAUACCAAGGCGCUUGAGAGAACUCGGGUGAAGGAACUAGGCAAAAUGGUGCCGUAACUUCGGGAGAAGGCACGCUGGUGUGUAGGUGAAGUCCCUGCGGAUGGAGCUGAGACCAGUCGAAGAUACCAGCUGGCUGCAACUGUUUAUUAAAAACACAGCACUGUGCAAACACGAAAGUGGACGUAUACGGUGUGACGCCUGCCCGGUGCCGGAAGGUUAAUUGAUGGGGUUAUCCGUAAGGAGAAGCUCUUGAUCGAAGCCCCGGUAAACGGCGGCCGUAACUAUAACGGUCCUAAGGUAGCGAAAUUCCUUGUCGGGUAAGUUCCGACCUGCACGAAUGGCGUAAUGAUGGCCAGGCUGUCUCCACCCGAGACUCAGUGAAAUUGAACUCGCUGUGAAGAUGCAGUGUACCCGCGGCAAGACGGAAAGACCCCGUGAACCUUUACUAUAGCUUGACACUGAACAUUGAGCCUUGAUGUGUAGGAUAGGUGGGAGGCUUUGAAGCGUGGACGCCAGUCUGCGUGGAGCCAACCUUGAAAUACCACCCUUUAAUGUUUGAUGUUCUAACGUUGGCCCCUGACCGGGGUUGCGGACAGUGUCUGGUGGGUAGUUUGACUGGGGCGGUCUCCUCCCAAAGCGUAACGGAGGAGCACGAAGGUUAGCUAAUCCUGGUCGGACAUCAGGAGGUUAGUGCAAUGGCAUAAGCUAGCUUGACUGCGAGCGUGACGGCGCGAGCAGGUGCGAAAGCAGGUCAUAGUGAUCCGGUGGUUCUGAAUGGAAGGGCCAUCGCUCAACGGAUAAAAGGUACUCCGGGGAUAACAGGCUGAUACCGCCCAAGAGUUCAUAUCGACGGCGGUGUUUGGCACCUCGAUGUCGGCUCAUCACAUCCUGGGGCUGAAGUAGGUCCCAAGGGUAUGGCUGUUCGCCAUUUAAAGUGGUACGCGAGCUGGGUUUAGAACGUCGUGAGACAGUUCGGUCCCUAUCUGCCGUGGGCGCUGGAGAAUUGAGGGGGGCUGCUCCUAGUACGAGAGGACCGGAGUGGACGCAUCACUGGUGUUCGGGUUGUCAUGCCAAUGGCACUGCCCGGUAGCUAAAUGCGGAAGAGAUAAGUGCUGAAAGCAUCUAAGCACGAAACUUGCCCCGAGAUGAGUUCUCCCUGAGACUUUAAGUCUCCUGAAGGAACGUUGAAGACGACGACGUUGAUAGGCCGGGUGUGUAAGCGCAGCGAUGCGUUGAGCUAACCGGUACUAAUGAACCGUGAGGCUUAACCUU